GAUCAUACCCAGCAGGGUUGAUACCACCGUCACGAAGGUGGUUUUCCAAGGACAAGCCUUUGCCAUUGUAGUCUAGUUGUGCCAACACUUAUGAUUUCCCCAAAGGUGCCAAGUGUGGGGCACUGACUGCAUAACUUGUCUUAGUGAAAACCUGAAUUCACAUUUUUC